rnacentral:rRNA from 1 species
CCCUUAGAUGUUCUGGGCCGCACGCGCGCUACACUGACGAAUGCAACGAGCUUAUAACCUUGGCCGAAAGGUCUGGGUAAUCUCCAAAUUUCGUCGUGAUGGGGAUAGAUUAUUGCAAUUAUUAAUCUUCAACGAGGAAGGCCUAGUAAGCGCAAGUCAUCAGCUUGCGUUGAUUACGUCCCUGCCCUUUGUACACACCGCCCGUCGCUCCUACCGAUUGAAUGGUCCGGUGAAGCGUUCGGACCGUGGCCUUUGGACGGUUCGCCGUCUGUUGGCUGCGGGAAGUUCGUUAAACCUUAUCAUUUAGAGGAAGGAGAAGUCGUAACA